GUGACAGCCGCCGCGGUAAUACGUAGGUGGCAAGCGUUGUCCGGAAUUAUUGGGCGUAAAGCGCGCGCAGGCGGUCCUUUAAGUCUGAUGUGAAAGCCCACGGNUCAACCGUGGAGGGUCAUUGGAAACUGGGGGACUUGAGUACAGAAGAGAAGAGUGGAAUUCCACGUGUAGCGGUGAAAUGCGUAGAGAUGUGGAGGAACACCAGUGGCGAAGGNGACUCUUUGGUCUGUAACUGACGCUGAGGCGCGAAAGCGUGGGGAGCAAACA
rnacentral:rRNA from 1 species